AUGAUUUUAGGUGCUUGCACUUGAAAGAUUUAACAUUGAGACGAGUGGCGAACUGGUGAGUAACACGUGGGUAACCUGCCCUUGAAGUAGGGGAUAACACUUGGAAACAGGUGCUAAUACCGUAUAACAACCAAAACCACCUGGUUUUGGUUUAAAAGACGGCUUCGGCUGUCACUUUAGGAUGGACCCGCGGCGUAUUAGCUUGUUGGUAAGGUAACGGCUUACCAAGGCGAUGAUACGUAGCCGACCUGAGAGGGUAAUCGGCCACAUUGGGACUGAGACACGGCCCAAACUCCUACGGGAGGCAGCAGUAGGGAAUCUUCCACAAUGGACGAAAGUCUGAUGGAGCAACGCCGCGUGAGUGAUGAAGGGUUUCGGCUCGUAAAACUCUGUUGUUGGAGAAGAACAGGUGUCAGAGUAACUGUUGACAUCUUGACGGUAUCCAACCAGAAAGCCACGGCUAACUACGUGCCAGCAGCCGCGGUAAUACGUAGGUGGCAAGCGUUGUCCGGAUUUAUUGGGCGUAAAGCGAGCGCAGGCGGUUUUUUAGGUCUGAUGUGAAAGCCUUCGGCUUAACCGGAGAAGUGCAUCGGAAACCGGGAGACUUGAGUGCAGAAGAGGACAGUGGAACUCCAUGUGUAGCGGUGAAAUGCGUAGAUAUAUGGAAGAACACCAGUGGCGAAGGCGGCUGUCUGGUCUGUAACUGACGCUGAGGCUCGAAA
rnacentral:rRNA from 1 species